rnacentral:lncRNA from 1 species
UGCGCGGUGCCCGCCGCGCCGGGGUGCCCCACUCCGGCUCUGCCCCCGCCGGCUGGCACCGCGCGCGGCUUGAGCCCCUGCCCCGGGGUCGGGCACCCGCCUGGCAAAGCCCCAAGGGCCUUAAAUCAAGCAAGACCCGGAGCAUCCGCGUAGGAACCGCGGGUUCAAGUGCUGUAUCUCCUCAGGGGCAGGACUCGGGCGUUUGCACAUUUACUUUGGUGGUCAGAUGGGACUGUGUUCUAUCUAAAAUGAAACUUGAAAAGCAAAAAAACCCCAAACCACUACUAUUAAAAUCAGCAUAA